CCCUUAGAUGUUCUGGGCCGCACGCGCGCUACACUGAUGCGUUCAACGAGUAUACAACCUUGAUCGAUAGGUCUGGGUAAUCUUGUGAAUGCGCAUCGUGCUAGGGAUAGAUUGUUGCAAUUUUCAAUCUUGAACGAGGAAUUCCUAGUAAACGCAAGUCAUCAGCUUGCAUUGAUUACGUCCCUGCCCUUUGUACACACCGCCCGUCGCACCUACCGAUUGAAUGGUCCGGUGAAAUCUUCGGAUUGAGACUUUGAUUUCUUCACGGAAAACGCUGUUUUAAAAAGUUGAUUAAACCUUACCAUUUAGAGGAAGGUGAAGUCGUAACA
rnacentral:rRNA from 1 species